UUUUCUCUCUUAAGUUGAACACGACUAUAGAUGUGCGUUUUCUGUAUAAUGUUCCGACAAGUUUGCCUCAAAAACAGGCAUCCCCUACAGAGACAUGCUGUUUUUUGAUGAUGAAUACCGCAAUAUAAGAGAUGUCUCAAAACUAGGUGUCACAUGUAUUCACGCACAGCACGGAAUGUCAAAUCAAAUAUUAGAAGAAGGUCUGAGAAAAUUUGAAGAUUUCUUGAUAUCUCCUGGCCUAUAGUUCCCACAUUUACUUCAAAUGCAAGUUACGUUCCAAGAGUGACGCAGAAUUUGUCUUACGUACAGUAUUUAUGGUUAUUUAUUGAUUGAGUCGUAUAUCUGCAAUAAAUUAAUUCUU